AUGCCACGCUGGCUUUCAGCCAGAAAUGAUUUGCCAUCACCACCUGAGGAAGCCUCUUCUAGUGCUUUCUGUGUCCAGGCUACCAGCCUGACCUGCCAUGGAGGCCAAGCAGAAGUCAUCCCCUCUCCUCAGCAGAGCUUGGAUACAGGGCACAAGAAGAGGAAGCAGCCAGUACCAUUGUGACAGAAAGCUGCAAGAAGAUGCCUUGCAUUUCUGUGGUGACAUUCUUUACCCAUCACCAGUUGUUCUUAUUGAAAACUCCUUAAUAUUUUAAAUUCAUUUGCAUCUUUAUCCUUGGCUCUCCCCUGCUGGAAGAGGAAUGGGAAAAUCAUGACCAUUUUGAGCCAACUUCUCUUCAGGCCUGAGGAGAGGUCCAGGAUUAUGGAUGAAGGUGGAUGUGUUGGGUAGGGAUGUAGAUACCCUGAAUGUUCCCAGGUAUGGGAGAUCCACCACUUCUCUGGGUAACCUGUUUGACUCUUCACCACAUCAUCGUCAAUUUUUUUUUUCUUCUAUCUAGUCUGAAUCAACUCUCCUUUAAUUUAAAACCUUCGCUCCUUCUUCUAUUGUUACAGGUCCUACCAAUGUCCUGAUUAACCACAGUGGCUUUGAAUGAGAGGACAUUCAGGUUGUCAAAUCCAUUUCCACAGUGUGUUUGAGGAGAGAAAUCUUCCAGAAGAGUUUGUGUUUUCUUCAGAGGAAGUAGGUUUUUUUCCCAGGGACCACAAAAAGCAGCUUUGUUGACACAUUUCAGUUUGCUGCUGCUCCAGAGUGUGAAGUGACAAGUUAUCUGAUGAGACCAGAGAAGAAAUUCUUAAAGCUAUUGCAUAGCAAAUAUUUUGUGCCUUUUCUGAUCUGAUUUCAGUGUGGAAUGGAAUAUCUGAAAAAUUGUUGCAUACUUAAACAGACCUCAGACAGAUAUUAGGCCAAAGAUUUUUUUGUUGAAAAUUUAUUGCCAAAAUUUGAAAUUCCUGAAAAUAAGGAAUGCCAUAGAAAAUUUCAUUCCAUACAAAGGCUGAAACUUCCCACCUCCAUUGCAUAGCUCCAUGAAUUUGCUUUUAGCAAUGUCUCUAGAAAUAAUGAGAAAUAGCACAGAAGAUUAAUGACAGUGCCAUUAUCAUAGUGCUGAUUAUAAUUGGAUACACAUUAGAAUAGUUCCAUGUUGUGAUUAGCUGUUCAGAUUAGGAUUAUUAUAGGUUUAGGGUUUUUGAAUUUUGAAAAGGUAGUUAGCUGCUUUCUGGGACAUAUUUAUCAUAGGUUUCCCAAGAUUUAACAGAGAGAAGUGAAACAAAAAAUGUUCUUCCUUUAUGCAAACUACGGUUGUUUCAUUUUCUGUUUAUACACUUACAAAGUGUCAGAGUAGUACGCCAACAAAAAAACCCCUUUUGUAUGUUACAUGUUAAAGACCUUUGUAAAAUUGCUUCAUGCCAAAUCAUUCUUAGUAACAAUAUCUACCAGUUGUAACAAGGUUAUUACGAGGCUUCUGAUAAUUAUUAGUCCGCUUUCCAGCUCCUUUGAACUUGCUUUUAAUACGUGGAUAUGCACGUAUAAAUUGGUAUAAGUAAAAUCUUUCUUGGUUUCUAGGAAUUGCUGGAGAGAGACAGAAUAAGAGAGACAGGUGGCUCUAAUAUUGCACAGUUUGUAUUUGAUAGUCACAUGUCCUCUAGCACUGAUCUGGGAUAUAAUUUUUUAAUGUAUUCAGCACAAUACAGGGUAGAUGUUUAUUAAAAAACAUGGAAAUAAUUUUCUCAGAUGUUUCCUUGCAGAAUUUUAAUUUAGUUGUUAGUAAUUCCCUGAAUCCUUUAGAAUCCAGUAUUUUUUAGCUACCAUUAAUCUCUACCACUCUAUCUUCAAACUCCUGUUUUCCAUGGGGAGUUCAGAAACCCAGCAGAAAGUUUUAACGGCCUUAUUGAAAAAAUAGUACUAAACAAUACAGUAAUUUUUACAUAUUCCCACCAAAGUGAUACUUCAUAUGAAAAAGUAUAAUAAACUGGUAAUUCUUUAGUGAGAAGACA
rnacentral:lncRNA from 1 species